AGAGUUUGAUCCUGGCUCAGGAUGAACGCUGGCGGCGUGCUUAACACAUGCAAGUCGAACGAUGAAGCCCAGCUUGCUGGGUGGAUUAGUGGCGAACGGGUGAGUAACACGUGAGUAACCUGCCCUUAACUCUGGGAUAAGCCUGGGAAACUGGGUCUAAUACCGGAUAGGAGCGCCUACCGCAUGGUGGGUGUUGGAAAGAUUUAUCGGUUUUGGAUGGACUCGCGGCCUAUCAGCUUGUUGGUGAGGUAAUGGCUCACCAAGGCGACGACGGGUAGCCGGCCUGAGAGGGUGACCGGCCACACUGGGACUGAGACACGGCCCAGACUCCUACGGGAGGCAGCAGUGGGGAAUAUUGCACAAUGGGCGCAAGCCUGAUGCAGCGACGCCGCGUGAGGGAUGACGGCCUUCGGGUUGUAAACCUCUUUCAGUAGGGAAGAAGCGAAAGUGACGGUACCUGCAGAAGAAGCACCGGCUAACUACGUGCCAGCAGCCGCGGUAAUACGUAGGGUGCGAGCGUUAUCCGGAAUUAUUGGGCGUAAAGAGCUCGUAGGCGGUUUGUCGCGUCUGUCGUGAAAGUCCGGGGCUUAACCCCGGAUCUGCGGUGGGUACGGGCAGACUAGAGUGCAGUAGGGGAGACUGGAAUUCCUGGUGUAGCGGUGGAAUGCGCAGAUAUCAGGAGGAACACCGAUGGCGAAGGCAGGUCUCUGGGCUGUAACUGACGCUGAGGAGCGAAAGCAUGGGGAGCGAACAGGAUUAGAUACCCUGGUAGUCCAUGCCGUAAACGUUGGGCACUAGGUGUGGGGACCAUUCCACGGUUUCCGCGCCGCAGCUAACGCAUUAAGUGCCCCGCCUGGGGAGUACGGCCGCAAGGCUAAAACUCAAAGGAAUUGACGGGGGCCCGCACAAGCGGCGGAGCAUGCGGAUUAAUUCGAUGCAACGCGAAGAACCUUACCAAGGCUUGACAUGUUCUCGAUCGCCGUAGAGAUACGGUUUCCCCUU
rnacentral:rRNA from 1 species